ACACUGGAACUGAGACACGGUCCAGACUCCUACGGGAGGCAGCAGUGGGGAAUAUUGCACAAUGGGCGCAAGCCUGAUGCAGCCAUGCCGCGUGUAUGAAGAAGGCCUUCGGGUUGUAAAGUACUUUCAGCGGGGAGGAAGGGAGUAAAGUUAAUACCUUUACUCAUUGACGUUACCCGCAGAAGAAGCACCGGCUAACUCCGUGCCAGCAGCCGCGGUAAUACGGAGGGUGCAAGCGUUAAUCGGAAUUACUGGGCGUAAAGCGCACGCAGGCGGUUUGUUAAGUCAGAUGUGAAAUCCCCGGGCUCAACCUGGGAACUGCAUCUGAUACUGGCAAGCUUGAGUCUCGUAGAGGGGGGUAGAAUUCCAGGUGUAGCGGUGAAAUGCGUAGAGAUCUGGAGGAAUACCGGUGGCGAAGGCGGCCCCCUGGACGAAGACUGACGCUCAGGUGCGAAAGCGUGGGGAGCAAACAGGAUU
rnacentral:rRNA from 1 species